UGACCUAGCGGCGGACGGGUGAGUAAUGCUUAGGAAUCUGCCUAUUAGUGGGGGACAACAUUCCGAAAGGAAUGCUAAUACCGCAUACGCCCUACGGGGGAAAGCAGGGGAUCUUCGGACCUUGCGCUAAUAGAUGAGCCUAAGUCAGAUUAGCUAGUUGGUGGGGUAAAGGCCUACCAAGGCGACGAUCUGUAGCGGGUCUGAGAGGAUGAUCCGCCACACUGGGACUGAGACACGGCCCAGACUCCUACGGGAGGCAGCAGUGGGGAAUAUUGGACAAUGGGCGAAAGCCUGAUCCAGCCAUGCCGCGUGUGUGAAGAAGGCCUUUUGGUUGUAAAGCACUUUAAGCGAGGAGGAGGCUACUUAGAUUAAUACUCUNGGAUAGUGGACGUUACUCGCAGAAUAAGCACCGGCUAACUCUGUGCCAGCAGCCGCGGUAAUACAGAGGGUGCGAGCGUUAAUCGGAUUUACUGGGCGUAAAGCGUGCGUAGGCGGCUUUUUAAGUCGGAUGUGAAAUCCCUGAGCUUAACUUAGGAAUUGCAUUCGAUACUGGGAAGCUAGAGUAUGGGAGAGGAUGGUAGAAUUCCAGGUGUAGCGGUGAAAUGCGUAGAGAUCUGGAGGAAUACCGAUGGCGAAGGCAGCCAUCUGGCCUAAUACUGACGCUGAGGUACGAAAGCAUGGGGAGCAAACAGGAUUAGAUACCCUGGUAGUCCAUGCCGUAAACGAUGUCUACUAGCCGUUGGG
rnacentral:rRNA from 1 species